rnacentral:rRNA from 1 species
UGGGGAAUAUUGCACAAUGGACGGAAGUUUGAUGCAGCGACGCCGCGUGGAGGGUGUAGGCCUUCGGGUUGUGAACUCCUUUUUCUCGCGAAAAAGGCACAGUUUUGGCUGUGUUGAUGGUAGUGGGGGAAGAAGCGCCGGCUAACUACGUGCCAGCAGCCGCGGUAAUACGUAGGGCGCGAGCGUUGUCCGGAUUUUUUGGGCGUAAAGAGCUCGUAGGUGGUUCGUCGCGUCUGUCGUGAAAGCCAGCAGCUUAACUGUUGGUCUGCGGUGGGUACGGGCGGGCUUGAGUGCGGUAGGGGUGACUGGAAUUCCUGGUGUAGCGGUGGAAUGCGCAGAUAUCAGGAGGAACACCGAUGGCGAAGGCAGGUCACUGGGCCGUUACUGACACUGAGGAGCGAAAGCGUGGGGAGCGAACAGG